AACUGAUACUACCUGCGGGAACCUGCGGAGGGAUCAUUACAGUGCUUGUCGUGACCCCGCCUUCGGGCUUGGUGGUCACGCACCUGCCACCCGUGUCUACUUUUCCACUGUUGCCUUGGCGGGCCCGCCGCGCAUUUACGUGUGCGGCCGCCGGGGGGGUUUGUCUCCCUCUGGCCAGCGCCCGCCGGGGACCAUUGUGAACUCUUUGUGAAUAUAGUGAUGUCUGAGUACUAUUGAAAU
rnacentral:misc_RNA from 1 species